AUGGUCCUUAAGGUGUGAUGCAGACACAUGACCACACACGGCAGCCUUCCACCCUCCUGAUGAAGACUGGGUCCCUGUCUUACUUACUGCUUAAUAUAUUGUAAUCCUUCAUUGCACGCUGCAGGAAAGCAAGAUAUUGACAUCUGUGGAGAAGAAGAGCAGGUGUUGAUCAGAGAACGCAGAGCCUGGGGAAGAAUUUUAUGGCAUUCCAGACAGGACACAGACCAGCCUGGAGGAAAAGCAGGGAGAAGACAUGGCAAUACAGGGAGGGCUGCCCGGAAGUUCUUUCUGAGGAGGAACAAUGUGACCCAUUUUCAUCAACAUUGGAGCGAUGUCUGGAGCCACAGGAACGAGGUUGUAACAAAGACAGCAAAGGCAGGGAAGUGUACGGGUGGCCCCGACGCGAGACCUCAAAGCAGCCCGUUUCCACCCAGCAUGCGGCGCUGCGAGUCAAGACUAGUUCCUCUGGCCACGUGCAGCGUGAACGUGCAGUGUAAACCAGUCUUGACCCUUUAGCAGCAUAAUCUCUUCACUAAAAUGGUCACCAGAAUUUUCACUUUGAAGAUCUCUUGCCACU